AGGUGUCAAUGAUGUAUAUCAAACUAUUACCAUCUUUCGUUUGAAACAAAUGAAAAUAAUUGUAUUUUCUGAGACACCA